UGACAUCAUGGAGAGACGUUCUGCUAAGGCUCCAAGGAGGUUUGAUGAAGAAGAGGAUUUAUCUGGAAAGAAGAAGAGGACAACAGUUGCAUCAGCUGGUGAUACAGUGGUUGUCUGUGACCCCUCUAUUAGUUCUACACUGACUUCUCUAUCCCUUCCCCUGCAGUAUCAUCUGCUGCUGGGGCCCUUCCUAUAACAGCUUCUUUUCUGCCUAUCUAUUCUAUCCCUGUCACUAGUUCUGCUCCUGGACCUAUUUUUUCUGCUCCAGUCUCCCUACCUAGCCUGGUUACUUCCUCUGCUGUCUCUUUCCCUAUUCAUUCUUUACCUUUGGGCUCUAUUUGUCUUCCCACCCGUUUUUCUGUCCCUACAGUGGCUAAUCUAUCCCUCUCUGCACCCAUUUUGCCUCCUUCCCGGUCCCUUGUGGCCUCAUUUGCCUCUGAUUUACAGAGGCAUGAUGCUGAGGAUUAUUUGAUGCUAUCACCAGAGCUCCGUUUUUCACAACGGAGCCCUGGGAGAUCCCCUUCGCCCUUGUUUGUUUCAGGGCAGCAGGGGAUGGAGGGCAGGCCUUGUGCUCCAUUUUUGGAACCGCAUGGCCUCCGGUUUCUCCCUUCCCCUGUGGCUGGCCCAUCGCGCGUGCCCGGCGUAGCCACGCCCACCCCUGUUCCGGCCGCCAUCUUGGUUGCGGUUUCUGUGAGUUCACAUCACAAGGUGGCUGGGGCUGAGUUGGGUGUGCGCGCGGCUCCAGUCACAGUAGAAGUGACUAACGCUAAGGUAAGGGGAGCACCACGGGCGGGCAGGGGGUCCCGCAGGUCACUUACCCGCAACAAAGGGGGGAGAGAUCUGGCUAAUAGAAGGGGGGGGAGAGCCGUGAGGGGUGUCGCAGGUCAAAAUAAUUUACCAGGCGUAGAUAAGCCUGUUUCCCCUAGACAACGAGCAUUUAAAGGGCCAAUAGGAACAUUUAUAAGAGAUGUGAGGGGUAUUGUAGGUACACAAAAUGCUUUACCAGGCAUAGAUAAGCCUGUUUCCCCUAGACAAUGAACAUUUAAAGGGCCAGUAGGAACAUAUGUAACGCCUAAUAGAGGAUUGGCAAACGUUAGACUAGGGCACAUGGAUUUAAUGUCUAGCCUUAAAAAAGGCUAUUAGCCAGGAAUAUUGUUGGGGAGCAAAAUGUUGGGGCCAGGUUUACUGAGGUUGCGGCUGGGGGGUCCGCUGGGCCGUCUGUUUCUGCCUGUGGUGCUCCCUCUGUUUUUUCUGUUACACAGGUAGAAAGCAAUAGCAGAGGAAUGGCAGAGGUGAAUCUUGGCGGUCAGGAGAUGCUUGUGUCUGCACCCAGGGAGGUAACUACCGGAGGAGAGGCUGCGGUGACAACAGUAGGAGCAAUAUCCUCAACUGCGGUGUCAGGAAGUGGUCAGGUUGCAGUUUGCAAGCGGAUAUGAAUUGUCGGCCAUUCCUAUAUCCAUUGGGCGGCUAUUCGGGCUGCGGCACAGCCAGGAGGACACCAGCUGGGACUGCCAUCCGAAAGAUGUCUAUUAGGUGGCUAGGCAGGAGGGGUAUGAUGUGGAGGCAUUUACCGGAGCAAUUGGCAGAGGCCAGGAGGAGAUGGGGCAAGCCUCACGUCAUUCUCCUUCAUUUGGGAGGAAAUGACAUAGGGACAAUGCCAAUGGGAGACCUAUCGGACAUAAUGGUGUCAGACAUUAAGUGGUUAAAACUCAGUUUCAAGGUGUGACCAUUAUUUGGUCAAAUAUUAUUUCAAGAAAUGUUUGGAGGCACAUGGCUACCAGGAAGGCGGGUUUCCGAGUGAAACGGAAACUUAAUAGGGAUGUGAGUAGGGUAGUGUUAGAGACUGGUGGUAAGGUGGUCUCACAUGAUAACAUCAGGAUUGAUUAUGUGGGUUUGUUUAGAAAGGACCAGGUACACUUGUCAGAGAGGGGUACGGAGUUGUUUUUGGGUAAUAUCAGGCAGGUCCUGGCUUCCUGUUUUUGUAAGUGGGGCAAGAGUACCUUGUCCUCUUUUGGGUGGCGGAAAGGGGUGUGGCAACAAAGUUAAUUCAUAGGACAAGGAUAGAAGGAAGGGACAGUGAGUGUUGAGGACCCUAGUCGCUGAGGGGCUAGGGAUUGUUGGCUCGCUGGGCAAUCUUCCUUGAACGGACAGGUAGGCGGAAUGAGGGCAUCCUCAUUCCCAGGGCGGCCACACCCCUUAGUGGGUUGAUAGGACAGGAUAUCUUGCCAGCUAGUAGCAGUUGUUAUUUAAUUUAUUUAAGUCUGUUUAAUAAAACAACCCCUCCCCCCGUUGGGGGGGGUUGGUUUUCUCCCAACCCUGAGUGUCGUGUCUUUUAUUGAAGGUAUGGGUUAUUAAGUUGGUGGGUGGUUAAUAUCUUGAAUGGAUUCAGGUAAGAAAUUUAUCCCCUUAGGAAAGUGUAGGACCUACCUAGGGACGAAACAAGUUAAGGGGGAAUUUAUUCUGAAGGAAGGAAAGAGAGGAAAGGAUUAAAAUAGGAGGGUAGUAUGCUGGACAGCUAGAGAACAGGAGGAGGAGAUUCAGAAGUGAUAAAAGGAAUGUUAAAACAGAAAGUAAAUCGCUAACCUGUUUCUUGUCUUCCCUUCCAGCCCUCCCUGUGGUUUAUGUUAUUGCUUUACAGGUGGUGAAGCAGAUGGACGAAUGGUUUGUGAUUUCAGCUGGCUUAGUCUUCCUUUGGCAGGGGGCUACAUAGUCAUGUGGACCUUUGUAAGCCCAAGGGUGUUAAUGAGUAGUAUGGGGUCUCCCGACUAACAGUCUUUUGGCUGGGGGACCGAUGUCUAUUCAGUUUGGAGACCUCUCCACCCGGUAGGUAGUUGGAGUUUGCAUGGCGUCAUGCUUUCUCAGGGCGGCGGAAAGGGGUGUGGCAACAAAGUUAAUUCAUAGGACAAGGAUAGAAGGAAGGGACAGUGAGCGUUGAGGACCCUAGUCGCCGAGGGGCUAGGGAUUGGUCGGCUCGCUGGGCGAUCUUCCUUGAGCGGACAGGUAGACAGAAUGAGGGCAUCCUCAUUCCCAGGGCGGCCACACCCCUUAGUGGGUUGAUAGGACAGGAUAUCUUGCCAGCUAGUAGCAGUUGUUAUUUAAUUUAUUUAAGUCUGUUUAAUAAAACAACCCCUCCCCCCGUUGGGGGAGGUUGGUUUUCUCCCAA